UCUCUCUCUCUCUCUCUCAAUUCCCUUCUGAGCUUAUCCAUCCCGAUGCGAGCUCCCGUGCAUUCAAAUGUUCCCGCUACUUUACAGCGUUCGUGCCUACUGCUGAGACAUCUUGGGACAGAGCAGCCUCGCGAACCUCCGGCGAUUAUCACGUUUCACCAGAUUAUUGCCCAUUCCUGGUGCGCUUAAUGCUAUUCGUGGCUCAUUUCAGUGCAUUGGGAGGAUAAGAGCAUAGACUUUAUAGUGAGAGGAGCAGCGAGAAACAAAGAACAACAGUGACAGAUAUAACGACAUUCUCAUCUUUCCACUGCUUUUCAAUUAGAUCAUUUUACGGUUAAACGAACAAAAUGUCAAAAUUAGUAGACUUGAUUUACCAGCGCUGUUUCAAGCGAACGUCAACGUAUGUUUUAAUCAUAUUAGCAAGUUCAUUUUACUUUGAAAGAAGUUUUGAUUUAAUAA